rnacentral:rRNA from 1 species
GGAUCCCCUAGUAACGGCGAGUGAAGAGGGAAUAGCCCAAAUUUGUAACUGGCCCUUCAGGUCCGAGUUGUAACUCGAGAACUGUUUUCCGUGCUGGACCAUGUACAAGUCUGUUGGAAUAUAGCUUCAUAGAGGGUGAGAAUCCCGUACAUGACAUGGACUACCAGUGCUUUGUGAUACAGUCUCUAAGAGUCGAGUUGUUUGGGAAUGCAGCUCAAAUUGGGUGGUAAAUUCCAUCUAAGGCUAAAUAUUGGCGAGAGACCGAUAGCGAACAAGUACCGUGAGGGAAAGAUGAAAAGCACUUUGGAAAGAGAGUUAACAGUACGUGAAAUUGUUGAAAGGGAAACGAUUGAAGUCAGUCUUGUUCUUGGUUGUUCAGCUUACGGGUAUUCAACCUCGAGCAGGCCAGCAUCAGUUUUAAAUGCCGGAUAAGGGUAAAGGAAAUGUGGCAGUCUCGGCUGUGUUAUAGUCCUUUACUUGAUACGGUGUUUGAGACUGAGGAACGCAGUGAGCCUUUUGGCGGUCUUCGGACCUUCUCACUUUGGAUGCUGGCG